rnacentral:misc_RNA from 1 species
GAUGAAGAACGCAGCGAAAUGAGAUACGUAGUGUGAAUUGCAGAAUUCAGUGAAUCAUCGAAUCUUUGAACGCACAUUGCGCCCUUUGGUAUUCCAAAGGGCAUGCCUGUUCGAGCGUCAUUUGUACCCUCAAGCUUUGCUUGGUGUUGGGCGUCUUGUCUCCAGUCCGCUGGAGACUCGCCUUAAAGUCAUUGGCAGCCGGCCUACUGGUUUCGGAGCGCAGCACAAGUCGCACUCUUUUCCAGCCAAGGUCAGUGUCCAACAAGCCUUUUUUCAACUUUUGACCUCGGAUCAGGUAGGGAUACCCGCUGAACUUAAGCAUAUCAAUAAGCGGAGGA